rnacentral:rRNA from 1 species
UACGUAGGAUGCUAGCGUUGUCCGGAUUUACUGGGCGUAAAGCGCGCGCAGGCGGCACUGUAAGUAAGGUGUGAAAUAUCCCUGCUCAACGGGGAGGGUGCACUUUAGACUGCGAGAGCUAGAGGACGGUAGAGGGGGGGUGGAAUUGCUGGUGUAGCGGUGAAAUGCGUAGAGAUCAGCAGGAACACCCGUGGCGAAGGCGGCCCCCUGGGCCGAACCUGACGGCUGAGGCGCGAAGGCUAGGGGAGCGAACGGG